rnacentral:rRNA from 1 species
GCCAUUAGUUGCUACGAAAGGGCACUCGUAAUGGGACUGCCGGUGACAAACCGGAGGAAGGUGGGGAUGACGUCAAGUCCUCAUGGCCCUUAUAGUGGGGCUACACACGUCAUACAAUGGCCGGUACAGAGGGUAGCCAACCCGCGAGGGGGAGCCAAUCCCACAAAGCCGGUCGUAGUCCGGAUCGCAGUCUGCAACUCGACUGCGUGAAGUCGGAAUCGCUAGUAAUCGCGGAUCAGCAUGUCGCGGUGAAUACGUUCCCGGGUCUU